rnacentral:rRNA from 1 species
CCUACGGGAGGCAGCAGUAGGGAAUUUUCCACAAUGGGCGAAAGCCUGAUGGAGCAACGCCGCGUGCAGGAUGAAGGCCUUCGGGUUGUAAACUGCUUUUAUCUGUGAAGAUUAUGACGGUAGCAGAUGAAUAAGGAUCGGCUAACUCCGUGCCAGCAGCCGCGGUCAUACGGAGGAUCCAAGCGUUAUCCGGAAUUACUGGGCGUAAAGAGUUGCGUAGGUGGCAUAGUAAGCAGACAGUGAAAUCGUGUGGCUCAACCAUACUCACAUUGCCUGAACUGCUAAGCUUGAGUAUAGGAGAGGUAGUUGGAAUUCCCAGUGUAGGAGUGAAAUCCGUAGAUAUUGGGAGGAACACCAAUGGCGUAGGCAGACUACUGGCCUAUUACUGACACUAAGGCACGAAAGCGUGGGGAGCAAACGGGAUUAGAUACCCCUGUAGU